AAAAUUAUCUUUUAUUGGUGCUUUAAAAUAGAGGCCAUCCUAGUAUAGUGUUAUUCCGUAGGCAUCUGGGCCUGCAAGCUCAGCCCUACACCUGCAAUUUGAUUUCCGGAUGAAGAUCGACCCGACUCUUCUUUUCCUUUCUGGCUCUGGCUGGUGCUAGAAAAAGGAAAAACCCAAGACCCUGCGCUUGCUGUUUGCUGUUUGCUCGAAGAGGAAAUAAAUGGGAAGGAAAAUGGAAUGGGCAGGCAGGGAGAAGCACAUGAGAGGAAUACCUAGGAAGAUGGUGUUUCUGGCAGUGGGGGCAUUCGCCAAGGCGGUAGCAACUCUUCUCAACACCACCUCCGUUCAUAAUGCUGAUACCCUCAUUCGUCUUGUGCGUUCUCGACCCCCUGGCAUACCACUCCUCACUGUUAGUAAUCACAUGUCUACCUUGGAUGAUCCACUUCUUUGGGGGUUCAAAGGUUUCCCCUCCUUGGAUGCCAAUUUGGCACGAUGGGUACUUGCUGCUGAAGACAUUUGUUUUAAGAAUUCUGUGCUCACUUAUUUUUUUAGACUUGGUAAAUGCAUACCUAUUACAAGGGGUGCUGGAAUUUAUCAGGAAUACAUGAACGAAGCUCUUCAAUGCUUAAACAAUGGAGCCUGGCUACAUACAUUUCCUGAAGGUAAAGUAUCCCAAGAAGAUGCACCUAUAAGACGAUUAAAAUGGGGAACAGCUAGUCUGAUUGUUCGUGCCCAUGUGACUCCUAUAGUUCUUCCGAUGGUUCAUAGUGGGUUUGAAGAGGUUAGAUAUCUUUCAUAAGUUGCCCUUUGUGUUUCCUCUGAGUGGAUAUUGUUUGUUGAGCUCGUAGAAUUAAUUUCCUGGGUCUGUAUAAAUUUCUUUCUCAUGAUUGUGAACAUUCUGCAUGAAUGAGUUGACUAUGAUAUUUGAUCUACAUGUGCCAGUUUGACCAUAACCCUCUUAGGAAAUCGGCUUCCCUAGUUUGGGUUUUGUUUUGAUGCAGUAAUAGUUUGCAUUGGAAGAUUCAUAAUAACAAUAUUAGAUUGAUGUCGUAAUUCUUGUCAGCAAAAUGAAAUUGACUGAUAAAAUGCAAUUCCAUGAUUAAAGGAUUCAGUUGAACUUAGGUGAACAAUGAUUUAAUAAAAUAAAACAACAGGUUUUUUUUGCCUUUCAAUUUCUUGCCAAUGCGUCAUCUCUUUUAUGUAUUGAUCCUCUGGCAUGGAGCCUAGAAGUGCUGGCUGGAAGUUCCAUAUACUGUUGUUAUUGUUUUUUGGAUAAUCACAUCACCGAAGACAAUAAUUAACUCUUCAGACAGUUGGAAUCCUAACAAUGAUCUCAAGUAUUGUAAAAUAUUCUCUAUGCUACAGGCAGGCUGUGAAAGCCAGUUCGUAUGCCGUUAAAGUGUAUGUCUGGUUUGCGGCUGCUAAAUUCAUUUGACUCGUACAAUUCAGUAUAAAUGUUUUAUUCAAUAAUGGGUUUAUGUCAGUAGAAAGCAGUUGUUUUACGGCGUCUUUACAUUUAGACCAAUAAGCAAGAGAAUUGUGGAUGGUGUCCCUUGCAUCCGAUAUUUAGACCAAUAUGCAGAAGUAAGAUGUGGAUUACUGAAUAACUUAUUAAAUUUGAGUUGUUUGGUCGGUUGGGGUCUUCAACAGGUGAUGCCGGAGAAGUUUUUUCUUGACAGAAGGCCUCCUUUUCCAUUAUGCAAUAAGAAAAUAAAAAUUAUGAUUGGACAGCCUCUAGAAUUUGAUAUUCCUAAAUUGACGGAGUUGGCAAUUUCAAAGUCUAGUGGUGAUGUA